AUCAUCUAAGGCUAAAUACUCCCAACUGACCGAUAGUGAACCAGUACCGUGAGGGAAAGGCGAAAAGAACCCCUGUGAGGGGAGUGAAAUAGAACCUGAAACCGUGUACGUACAAGCAGUAGGAGCCCACUAGUUGGGUGACUGCGUACCUUUUGUAUAAUGGGUCAGCGACUUAUAUUUUGUAGCGAGGUUAACCGAUUAGGGUAGCCGUAGGGAAACCGAGUCUUAACUGGGCGUAUAGUUGCAAGGUAUAGACCCGAAACCCGGUGAUCUA
rnacentral:rRNA from 1 species